AACGCGAAGAACCUUACCAAGGCUUGACAUGCACGGGAAAGUCCCAGAGAUGGUUCCCCCGCAAGGUCCGUGCACAGGUGGUGCAUGGUGGUCGUCAGCUCGUGUCGUGAGAUGUUGGGUUAAGUCCCGCAACGAGCGCAACCCCUGUCUUAUGUUGCCAGCGCGUUAUGGCGGGGACUCAUAAGAGACUGCCGGGGUCAACUCGGAGGAAGGUGGGGAUGACGUCAAAUCAUCAUGCCCCUUAUGUCUUGGGCUUCACGCAUGCUACAAUGGCCGGCACAAAGGGCUGCGAAACCGCAAGGUGGAGCGAAUCCCAGAAAGCCGGUCUCAGUUCGGAUUGGGGUCUGCAACUCGACCCCAUGAAGUCGGAGUCGCUAGUAAUCGCAGAUCAGCAACGCUGCGGUGAAUACGUUCCCGGGCCUUGUACACACCG
rnacentral:rRNA from 1 species